rnacentral:lncRNA from 1 species
GUGGUUAUGGGUUUUUUUUGCAGAGUAGAGGGGUGGAUGGGGGUUUGGUUUGUGUGUGAUGGGUGAUGGAGGCCAUGGAGAAUUGUCCAAGGUGAAUGAUGGAUCCGUUGGAGGUGGUUACGGGUUAGGGGAGAGAGGAGUGGAGUGGUGUGUGCUUCCCUUGUGGGUCAUAGAGGAAUCCUUUCUGUUAUGCGCCAGGAAUUGAUUUCCAUGGAAGAUUAUUCUCUUUUUUUAUUGCCACCUGAGUGAGUGAUAAAUAUUGUAUAUUGAUUGAGGAAUCAUUUCUUUUUCCAAAGAAGCCUCAUCAUGUUGCCUUUUUUCC